rnacentral:rRNA from 1 species
UACGAAGGGGGCUAGCGUUGCUCGGAAUCACUGGGCGUAAAGCGCACGUAGGCGGAUUGUUAAGUCAGGGGUGAAAUCCUGGAGCUCAACUCCAGAACUGCCCUUGAUACUGGCGAUCUUGAGUCCGGAAGAGGUGAGUGGAACUCCGAGUGUAGAGGUGAAAUUCGUAGAUAUUCGCAAGAACACCAGUGGCGAAGGCGGCUCACUGGCCCGGUACUGACGCUGAGGCACGAAAGCGUGGGGAGCAAACAGG